rnacentral:rRNA from 1 species
GAUGAACGCUGGCGGUAUGCUUAACACAUGCAAGUCGAACGGACACUUUCGGGUGUUAGUGGCGGACGGGUGAGUAACGCGUGAGAAUCUGCCUUUAGGUUCGGGACAACCAUUGGAAACGAUGGCUAAUACCGGAUAUGCAGGAAUGUGAAAGAUAUAUUGCCUAAAGAUGAGCUCGCGUCUGAUUAGCUAGUUGGUGGGGUAAAGGCCUACCAAGGCGACGAUCAGUAACUGGUCUGAGAGGAUGAUCAGUCACACUGGAACUGAGACACGGUCCAGACUCCUACGGGAGGCAGCAGUGGGGAAUUUUCCGCAAUGGGCGAAAGCCUGACGGAGCAAUACCGCGUGAGGGAGGAAGGCUCUUGGGUUGUAAACCUCUUUUCUUAGGGAAGAACAAAAUGACGGUACCUAAGGAAUAAGCAUCGGCUAACUCCGUGCCAGCAGCCGCGGUAAUACGGAGGAUGCAAGCGUUAUCCGGAAUGAUUGGGCGUAAAGCGUCCGCAGGUGGUUUUGUAAGUCUAUUGUUAAAGCGUCUGGCUCAACCAGAUAAUGGCGGUGGAAACUACAAGACUAGAGUCCGUUCGGGGCAGAGGGAAUUCCUGGUGUAGCGGUGAAAUGCGUAGAGAUCAGGAAGAACACCGGUGGCGAAAGCGCUCUGCUAGGCCGGAACUGACACUGAGGGACGAAAGCUAGGGGAGCGAAUGGGAUUAGAUACCCCAGUAGUCCUAGCCGUAAACGAUGGAUACUAGGCGUG